rnacentral:misc_RNA from 1 species
GUAUUUGAUUGCGUUUUAAGGCAACAUGAACAUUCUAUGACACAUUCAGAGUAUAUGAUACAUAAGCCCGAAGGCCUACGGUGGGUUCACAGGUGUGUGUGGAUUAAAGGCUCAGGUGUGCACAUGCCCCAAAAGGCCAGCUACAACCCUCACCAGUAAUUUUCAAUAAUGAUCCUUCCGCAGGUUCACCUACGGAAA